rnacentral:tmRNA from 1 species
GGGGGUGUAAAAGGAUUUGACAAGGUUUCGAAAAAUUUUGAGAGCAGGCAGAGGCAAGGACCUCUUUAAAACCGAAAGAUUGCCAACACAAAUUUUGUUCCAGCUUUAGCAUAAAAAAUUAAAGCUGGCAUUUCUCUUUCGAUUCUCGCUAAGAAAGGGAAGUGUCAUAAUAAGCGAGAAAGUUCAUUAAAAAUUUUUUCAUUCUAUUUUAUGGAAGAGAAGGUUGUCAAUGGCCUUCUGUUCCGAGAAAUAAACAUUGACUAAGCCUGUAGAACUCAAACUUGAGUAGAAACCUUGGACCCGGGUUCGAAUCCCGGCACCUCCAAAA